UUAGAUUAUGGGCUAUUGGUUUUAUAUGGUGUGGGCUAACACUCAUUUGUUAAUGGGCUAGGCUUGGAUGGAAGUCCAUGGAUGAUCCAUGGAGCUUUUAACCCAUGGGUCCUUGGAAAAGGAAAGGUCAUGGGUUAUUAGGGUUUCACCCUAACCAUGUACACUAUAUAAGCAUGCUUAUGUUGCAUGAAAUAGCCACUAGUGUGUGUGCUUGUGUGUGGCCGAAAAUAUAAGUGUGUGUACACUCUCUCAAAGUUUUCCAAGUGUUUGUGGUGAUUUGUGAUUCCAUUUGAGGCAUUCACAUUAUUGGUGCUUGGCUCUCAAACUCCAAUAAAUCAAUCUCAUCAAAAGGUAUGUAAUCUCAUCUAACUCUUUUAUGUUUAAAUGUUCCCCAUGCCAUGUUAGAUAGGUUAUGAACCUUGGAANCACAACAAAGGUAUGUAAUCUCUUCUAACUCUUUUAUGUUGAAAUGUUCCCCAUGCCAUGUUAGAUAGGUUAUAAACCUUGGAAAAUUAUUAUUUUGCAUGUAUUUAGACAAACAUAGAUCCAAGGUUUAUUAGGGUUGCAUGCACACUUAGGAAGUGUUAG
rnacentral:lncRNA from 1 species